rnacentral:rRNA from 1 species
UACGGAGGGGGCAAGCGUUAUUCGGAAUCAUUGGGCGUAAAGGGCGCGUAGGCGGCCUUGCAAGUCAAAGGUGAAAUCCCUCGGCCUAACCGAGGAACUGCCUUUGAUACUGCAUGGCUCGAGGCCGGGAGAGGGUAGCGGAAUUCCCAGUGUAGCGGUGAAAUGCGUAGAUAUUGGGAGGAACACCAGUGGCGAAGGCGGCUACCUGGACCGGUUCUGACGCUGAUGCGCGAAAGCGUGGGGAGCAAACAGG